AGUGAACGCUGGCGGUAGGCCUAACACAUGCAAGUCGAACGGCAGCACAGUAAGAGCUUGCUCUUACGGGUGGCGAGUGGCGGACGGGUGAGGAAUACAUCGGAAUCUACUUUUUCGUGGGGGAUAACGUAGGGAAACUUACGCUAAUACCGCAUACGACCUACGGGUGAAAGCAGGGGAUCUUCGGACCUUGCGCGAUUGAAUGAGCCGAUGUCGGAUUAGCUAGUUGGCGGGGUAAAGGCCCACCAAGGCGACGAUCCGUAGCUGGUCUGAGAGGAUGAUCAGCCACACUGGAACUGAGACAAGGUCCAGAAUCCGACGGGAGGCAGCAGUGGGGAAUAUUGGAAAAUGGGCGCAAGCCUGAUCCAGCCAUACCGCGUGGGUGAAGAAGGCCUUCGGGUUGUAAAGCCCUUUUGUUGGGAAAGAAAAGCAGCAGGUUAAUACCCCGCUGUUCUGACGGUACCCAAAGAAUAAGCACCGGCUAACUUCGUG
rnacentral:rRNA from 1 species